UACCUAUCCCAAAGUUAGCUUGACUUAGAAGCAGGAACUUGACAACCUAACUAUUGCGAUCAGGAAUUCAGGAUUGGUCGGUAUCGUACCUGAUGUGUUCUUCUUUCCUGCAAUAAAUCCAAUCUUCUGCUCCCUGAAGUAUGGAACGAACUUAUUCAAUAUAUAUGAAUCCCAACUCCAGAUACUAGCUAUAUGGAGUUUCUCACUGCUACUCUUGCCUGUAUCCCUUUUCUUUUGGUAGUUCUCUACAGACCAAAUGUCUGCUCAAGCAACCCUUAUAUAGACUGGGGAUGUGGUGGUGGUGGAGGAGAGAUAGUGAGGCAUAGAAUCUUGAAGAAAAGUCCCUGACUCAAUCCAAUAUUCACAGCGACCUAAAAAGGGAUGUUAUCCUUCCUAUUUUCAUAACAUGACCUCUAACUUUCCUUUCCAUUCUAAAACACCCAAUUACUAUUGCUCUGCAUCAGAACUCUCAGAAACAACUUAUGCCUUGCAUUAGAUACCAGAAUUGAUCCAACAAAUUUCCUUUUUCCUUCCCUGUUCACUCCUAUUCGCUUGUCUGGCAAAAGCAAGAAUCUUAUUCCCAGGACAUGAGAUUUUAUCAGAUCUUGGUCUUGUAGUCAGUUUUUCUCUAUUUUCAAUGUGAAUAGUGAAUUAUAAGAAGAUGGAGUCCAGUCGAGCUACCUAAUAUCUAUGUUAACGAGGGCAGAUGAAGACACAAAACAAGGUUAGAACUGGUCAUCGUUGUGGGAAUUUAGAAGAAUGUUCUGUUGACCGGAGCAUCUAGUAACUUUGGCAUUAGAUACAUACAAGGAGAGAUGCUUGUUCUUGGACAAUGUUCUGAGGCAAGGAAUAGAAUAAGGCAUACAUUCUGUUUCGUCUCCUUCAGUAAGUUUGACACUGAUUUAGCCCCCACACAGUAUAAAAAUAUAUAGAAGAGGGUCCCAGGUUCUUUUUAUUUGUUCAUCCUUCAAUUGGCAUAAGACAACCGGCCCCGCCGACGAAUUCUAAGCAUCGUUGGACGUGAUAACAAAGAAACAAAAAGGGGGAUUGUACUUUCUUUCAUAUUUGCAUCUGAUGCAACAAGAGGGACAAGUCAUUGCCAGCAUAUGACCCUCCACCUUGACUCAUGCAGAUUCUCGAUCUCUUGAAUACUUGGCUUUCACUUGUGGUAUCAAGCAGCUAUUACUUUCCUCUCCGUGUGGACUAUAUAUUCUCGACUUUGGGAAAGGAAAAGGUGAUGCAAACAUCAACAUAUAAGAACUAAUUCAAGCUUAAGGAUCAGCCCAUCAUAAGCGACGACACAUGUGAGAUGUUGAUUGGUUGCAUUUUGUUGACUAAAUGGGAUUAGCAUGCAUUGGCUCUGCAAUGGAAAGUGAGAAAUGACCACGGAAUGUAUUCCUUGAGAGGGAAAAAAAGUUAAAGAGGAGGAAGAGAAAGGGAUGAUUAAACAAACUGGUCUUCUGGUCCCAUGCAUGCUUUGCAGGUUUGAUUAAUCAAGGUUACUCCUUCUUCCAUCUAAUUAACAUGCAUUUUCGCAGGAUCUUGUGCAUGACCCCCCAAGAAACAACUGCUCUCCUCCUCCCAUGUUUGUAGAAAAGAAAGUUUUCCUCUUUGAAUAAAUGAUAUAAACAAUGCAUGAUAAUUGAUAGGGCAUGAACCAUCCUAUCCAAUCAGAGGAAUCAUGAACCAACCAAACAUAUGCAUAUAUAUAUGUUUAUUCAUAAAUUCAUUUGAAUAUACCUAACAAUGCCACAUGCAUGUAGAUUCACUUUUUUGUUGAACCUAGGACAUAUCAGAGCUUCUUUUACUGUAAAUCCACCCUUCCAAAGCCAACCAUUUUAAGUUCAUAUAUAGUUCCAUGAUUAGUACUAAGUAGUAUUAUUGUCGAAUGUGCUUUGUUCAAGAGUCAAGCAAGCCCAUUUCAUAUAUUCUCUCAACAACCCUAGCUAGUUCUGGUCCUUUUUUUUUCCUUGGUCCAACCGUGCGUCUUUUUCCAAUCUUCACUUUGCAUCCAGUCCUUUCAGUUAAAUAAUUGAUGUGCUCAUAUUUUAUCUUAAGUUGCUUGAGCAGAAUCAAAAAGCAGUGGUGGGUUUAACCAGCAUAUAUAUGCUGCCCUGAUUUGUCAGGUAGGUAUCUGAUGGUAUUGGGUGAACAGGGACAUCACCAAGUGGCUGACCUCUUCAUUAUUAUGUUUCGAAUAUUCAGAUAACAAAAUAGAAGUCCAUGAUGGAUGUACCCGAUUGCAUAUAUAUAAUCAUUGAAGGCAAUUCCCCAAAUGAAAUAAAUGCAUUGCUUUUUC